rnacentral:rRNA from 1 species
UACAGAGGUGGCAAGCGUUGUUCGGAAUUACUGGGCGUAAAGGGCGCGUAGGCGGCCAUCUAAGUCAGACGUGAAAUCCCCCCGGCUCAACCUGGGAGCUGCGUCUGAUACUGGAAGGCUAGAGUUUGGGAGAGGGAUGUAGAAUUCCAGGUGUAGCGGUGAAAAUGCGUAGAUAUCUGGAGGAAUACCGGUGGCGAAGGCGGCAUCCUGGACCAAUACUGACGCUGAGGCGCGAAAAGCUAGGGGGAGCAAAACGGGG